GGCAUCUGAAAAGGGAAGCAGAAACUGAAUACCUGCAUGUGCAUUUUUACAGAGCUGGAGACCUGAAGCAUGCAGUCUUGGAUUGCUUGAAGCCAACAGAAAAAAAAAUCUGCUAACAGCUUUGAGACAAGGAAGACAGUCACCUUCCGGCGUGCAUCAGCUAGCAGAGACCGUGGGGAUCCGGACGCUGAGGGCUCUGCGUCACCGUCUGCGCAGCACAGCUUUGCUCUUAGCUCAGGAAGUGUGAAUUAGCACUCAAGUUUCAUAGAGUUUAAAGGGUUUGAAGCUGCAGCAAAGUCAGGAUUUCUAUAUGAAAUAUGUAGUAGAGCAGAUAGCUAAGCAGGAACAUCCACAGCUUUAAAAAGCUGCACCUCUAGAGGUGGAAAAUUAAAAGUGAAAUCCUCUUCAAAGUGAUAAAUGCACUGAAGCCUGUAUUAAACAACCUCUCAAGGGCCUGCCAGAAAAAAAAAAGAAAAAAAAAAAAAAAAAAAAGGGUCUCUUGAGGGAGGGAGGUCGAUCUGCUGCUGCAUGUUAUUAAAUGCUGCAGUUGCCUUCCCUGUUGCUUUAAGUUUAAAGUUUCAGUGAUGUCUUGAUCUGCUGAUCAGAGUUUGGAUGAUGUGUUAGCUGUGAACAACUGCAAAGGAACAUUUUUCAGACAGCGUUUCGAAUGGGCAGCUGUGCGGUCCAAAAAUAGAAAAACAGCAUUCUUUGGUUGUCUUAAGUCUUUCAAUAAAUCGACAUAGCUAUUGCCCAAAUGAUCCUUCUUUUAUUAGUGUUGCAAAUGAUUGGCAGUACAGUCAUAUCACCGUUUCUCACCAUCUGGGAUUUAGUGGCUUGUUUUUCUCACUUGUCCUGUGUGUACACAAUGCAAAGGUUAAAUUUUUCCUUAGUUGCUUUUCUGACUUUGUUCUUCCCGUGUGUAAGGGAAUUAUUUUUAUCAGCCCAGGCUUAUCAUUAUUGAAAAAGUGUGUUGCUGUUGAGCCAUAAACGGCCCUUCCCAUUUCAAGAUCUAAUUGUUCCAUAAUGAGUUUAUUAUAAGUCAUAGUACCACAGAAACAACCUCAAAUUAGGUUUUCUUUAACUGCUUUUGCAAAAGUUAAUUUCCUGCACAAUAGUUAUGUUUGUGAAAGAAAGGAAGCCCUUCUCCAGUGGAAGUUUGGAAGUCAUUGACCUUCUGGCCAUUGAAAAAAACCUCAUUGGGGUCUUUUGGGAGAGUGACUGUUUGUUUGUUUUUGUUACACUAAUCCACCAUAAUAAGAGGAAUUUAUAAUGCCUCAAAUGCUGUUAUAUUUUGUCAUAUAAGAAAAAAUAGUAUCAAUGACCUGUAAAAGAGCUUCUGUCUUAAGCUUUUUUGUUUUCUGAUUUCUGUGUUAUGCGUUGACUAGCCCCCAAGAUUUGGGCCAGAAUGCUGUAUAACGUUCAGUCUUUCCUGUGGCCUCCGGGAACUGGAGCUCCUUCUGCCCUGACAGAUUAUGGCUGCGUGUUUUUUAUUGCCUCUGGAGACUAAAUCUGUUAAUUGUUGCUUUCUAUGAGAACUGGUAGAGAAACCAGACAUUGGAAAUGGGACAUUUUGUGAAGCAAAGUCCAAACCCAAGUAGCAAAAGUAAUUCUAGGAUUUUUCUCCCUUUGUCAAUAAGGGUUUAGUGUUUGCAAAGGUGAACAGAUUAUCAGCAAUUUUUUACACGAUAUGUCCUCUAUUACUGUGUUGCAUAAUUUCACCCCAUUAUCCUAAAAUAGAUGGUUUCUUAGGAGCCAAAUUAAAAAAUUCUGGAUUUGCAAGACUGUUUAAAAAAAUAAAAGUAAAUCCUGAUUUAAAAAAAUUAGAUUAUGAAUUUCCCUUUUAAAAUUGCAAUAAUAAUAAAAA